rnacentral:rRNA from 1 species
UACAGAGGGUGCAAGCGUUGUUCGGAAUUACUGGGCGUAAAGCGCGUGUAGGCGGCCUUGCAAGUCGGGUGUGAAAGCCCUCAGCUCAACUGAGGAAGUGCGCCCGAAACUGCAGAGCUUGAGUACCGGAGAGGAUGGCGGAAUUCCCCAAGUAGAGGUGAAAUUCGUAGAUAUGGGGAGGAACACCGGUGGCGAAGGCGGGUUGCUGGGCUGAUACUGACGCUGAUGCGCGAAGGCCAGGGGAGCAAACGGG